rnacentral:rRNA from 1 species
ACGAAUGCUAGCGGCGUGCUUUAGGCAUGCAAGUAGAACGCGAUUUGUAGCAAUACAAAUUGAGUUGCGAACGGCUGAGUAACACGUAGGAAUUUACCUUUUGGCGGGGAAUACCCAUUCGAAAGAAUGGCUAAUACCGCAUAAGAUCGCAAGAUGAAAGGGCUUAACCGCCCACCGAAAGAGAAGCCUGCGGCCCAUCAGCUAGUUGGUAGGGUAAUGGCCUACCAAGGCUACGACGGGUAGGGGGCGUGAGAGCGCGUUCCCCCAGAAUGGGACUGAGACACGGCCCAUACACCUACGGGUGGCAGCAACCGGGAAUAGUACGCAAUGGACGAAAGUCUGACGUCGCGACGCCGCGUGGAGGAUGAAGGCCUACGGGUCGUAAACUCCUUUUGCCAAGUGGGAGACCACUUGGAGAAUAAGUAACUGCUAACUCUGUGCCAGCAGCAGCGGUAAUACAGAGGUUACAAGCAUUGUCCGGGAUCACUGGGCGUAAAAGCGUUUCGCAGGUGUUUUUCUAAGUUACGUUUGAAAGACUGGGGCUCAACCUCAGAAACGGGCGUAAUACUGGAGGAAUUGAAGGGUUAUCGGGGCUAUUGGAACUGUCGGUGUAGGAGUGAAAUCCGUUGAUAUCGACAGGAACUCCGAGGGCGUAGGCAGAUAGCUAGGUACCUCUUGACACUCAUGAACGAAAGCUAGGGGAGCGAAAGGGAUUAGAGACCCCUGUAGUCCUAGCCGUAAACAUUGCUCGCUAGCUUUCCCUAAUUUAUUAGGGGGGGCGUAAGCUAACGCGCGAAGCGAGCCGCCUGGGGAGUACGAUCGCAAGAUUAAAACUCAAAGAAAUUGACGGGGACCUGCACAACCAGCGGAGCAUGUGGUUUAAUUCGAGACGAACCGAAGAACCUUACCCAGACUUGACAUGAUACCGUGUUUUUUCCAGAAAUGGAGAGAAAUCCUACAGAAAUGUUGGAUGGUACCACAGGUGUUGCAUGACUGUCGUCAGCUCGUGCCGUAGGGUGUUCCCUUAAGUGGGGUAACGAGCGCAACCCCCUUUCGCGUGUUGCAUUAUUCACGCGACACAGUCCGCCUUGAGCGGGAGGAAGCGGGGACGACGUCAAGUCAGCAUGGCCCUUAUGUCUGGGGCAACACACAUACUACAAUGAAGCCGACAAACCGUUGCCAAGCGGUAACGCGGAGCUAAUCGGAGAAACGGCUUCUCAGUGGGGAUUGUGGGCUGAAACUCGCCCACAUGAACAUGGAGUUGGUAGUAAUCGCAGAUCAGCUAAGCUGCGGUGAAUACGUUCUCAGGUCUUGUACACACCGCCCGUCAAGUCAGAGGAGUUGGGGGCACCCGAAUCUCGGUGUAUUCCGGGAGAAGGUGAAACCAGCAACUAGGAUU